GGGAUGGAUGUCUGAGCGGUUGAAAGAGUCGGUCUUGAAAACCGAAGUAUUGAUAGGAAUACCGGGGGUUCGAAUCCCUCUCCAUCC
rnacentral:tRNA from 1 species